UGGAGUGUGUGAUACAUGCUGGCUGCCUUUUAUAUCCAUAUGUCCAGGGGCGUGGCCAGGCAUGCAAAUUCCACAUGGCAAUUUCAUUGGUCUUUUCUGAAUAUGUCAGAGGUGUUGGGGUUCCCAAGAGUGACCCCUAGUGACACAACGUCAAAAGUGACCAAAGAAAGGCAAUAUUUUUUUUGUUGUUGUUGAAUAUAAAAAUAACUUAGCACAUACAUUUUAACCCUUAAAUGCAUGAAUGUUUCACCAAUCAUUACAUAUUUGGGUCUUUAGCGUCCAUAUCUUAACAUGGAUGGAUCUCUAACUGCUGCAAUAGUAUAAAACUCUUUUGAUAUUUUAAAAGCACUGACAAAAGAAUAAAAUAAAACACAUUUCAUUACGUUUUGGAACUUAAAAGGGUUAAAUUUGAGCAGAUGCUUUGUUCCAUCAUCACGUCAUCAUUGUGGUGAGUUAAUUUCCCCAGUACAUUCAUCAUCUGGCUCAUAUUCGCAACCUCAACCAUAUUCUCAAAACUAUUGUUUUCAACAUCUUUAAAAUUAAUAUUUUGAUCACUGACAGCUUCUUCACCAGAUCCACCAUCAAGUGACAGUGACACUAAUAUUUGACUGCGUAUAGUACUUGCUCUGCAGUAAAUCACUGAUCAAGUUCAAGUUUUGCUUAUGAUACUUGUGUAUUCUUUUGUUUUAUGCCUGCGAAGAUUAUGACUGAAACAUAACGUCAUCAUUGUAUAUCAGACUUUUCCACCUUGAGGAAUGAUGGUGAAGGUGAAUUGCACUUAUUGAAUCAUUAGGGAUUCAAUUAUAGUUGCUCAUAAAAAAUAUACUUACACUACUACAUAUAACUCGGGUCGCUAGUGACCCUUUACACACAUAUACACGCACACACACAAAAAUAAUUAGAAAACAGACAUUCUUUUAUCAUUUUUUAUUCUUGUUAAAUUGUUUGUAAUGAAUAGACUGAGGAAUUGAUGGAUACAGGUUGAUGUAAAAAAUGAAUGAGGAGGAGGGUAGUGAAUGAUGUCCUGGGUCAACAAAGACCCAAGGUAUGCGUUUUCAAGAGUUAAACAACACUUUUAAAAUAUUUGUCCUUUUCUUUAUCUUGCACACUCUUAUUUGUUAUUGACCUACUUGGAUUUGUGUGAUAUUUAGCGCUUAAUUUUGUUGCAUAACUCAGCCUGCCACAUAUAUGAAUGAUAUUUUGAAUUUUAAAGCCUGUUGAGGAGAGGUGUGUUAUUUUCUAACCUGUUUGACUUUUAUGAUGAUAAAAUGGGUGAUAAAUUCUAUAUCUAGCCAUAUCUAGAGACCAGAAUAUUAUAGAGACAUGGCUGUGGGGUCUUUUGACUUGGCCAGUAAACAAGCAACUAGCAACCACCCUGAACACCCUAGUAACUGCAUAGCAACACCCUAUGAUCACGGAGGCGUCGUGCACUGGCAAGCAAGUUUCGUGAUAUUAUUGAAAAGAAAAAAAUUAUACACCAACUCUAUUGUGAUUCACUGCACUGUAUUCAGGUGAUGAACUGUGCUCUGAGGCAAAACGUGGUAAUGAAUCCUCUGUUCAAGUAUUCUCCUAAUACAAGAGACUGUGAACAGGAUAUGAUGUUACUGUGUGUCUAAAGGUCUUAUUACACUUUGUGCACAGGAUUAAGAUCCACAGAAUGGCUACAUAAAAGCACGGAUAAGAAGAGUCAGUGAAGGCAAAAGUGCUCCGGUUACACAUUACACACAUGAUUAGGCUUCAGGCUCCUGUGUUAAGCUAGUUUUUCGUCACACUCUGGUGCACUUAUGUUAGGGAAGUGUACUUAAAUAACAAGUUUUUCUGUGGUUUGUCCAUGCAAAACUUACCCAGGGUGUAUCUAUGCGGUUGCUAAGUGGUUUCUAGGGCGUUGAUUGAUGGUUGCUUACUGGUCCAAGUCAAAAGGGCUCACCUCAAGUCUCUAUGAGUUGGUUUGGUCCUUUCUUCAAGGUAAGUCUAUCGGAUUUCUUCUUACAUUUCAUCACUUAAUAGCACACCUCUCCUAAACAAGUCUCAUGGUGUAUCAUUCAUAUCUGUUUCACAAAUGGUGCAGGAUGAAUUGCACACCAAAGUUUAAUACUUACGGUUAGGGGUUUGUUUAAAUCUCUAAAUCUGACCUUCAGAGAGGGAAACACAGAGUAGCAGAGAGCAGAAAUGCUUGGCAUCCAGCAGACAAAAGGGUGGGACUGGCAGGAAAAGCAGCGAUGAGUAAAGCUCAUGUUCUCCUUUAUGAGCCCCUCAUCUAACGGCCGCAUUUGAUUACAGUAAGGCUCAGAGUUGAGGAACUUUUUACAGGAUUACUGCCAGUUUCCUCCAGCACACACACACACACACACACACACAUACAGAGGCAUUCACUGCUGGAUGCUGGACCGUCUCUGUGAAACCGGAGUGGGGUGACGCUUUAAUGAGCGGUAUGAAGGGAUGAUGUUGAAGACUGGCCGAGUCAGUCAGGGGAAACAGUGGGGAGUCUCCUUCGGAUCGUUCAAUCCACUCUCGUUUGCCUCUGUUAUGCAGUCCAUUCUGUUUUGAUCCCAGUGAAGCCUGAAGAGGCAAUAAAAAGCCUAAUAACUGGGCUAGACUCCACGACUAUCCUCUCGGCAGAGAUUGCUGGAUAUUUCAGAAGAGCAAGGAGGAACAUUAAGACUGGAGAAUUACAGUUCUUCUUUGGAGUUUGUGAGGCUUUUGGACUCAACAUCUCACCAGACUGCACUUUACUUUGCAAGAAUUAGAUGCAAUCUGUUUGAUUCAUCCUUGUUUUAUGUGGUACCAACCCUUCACACUUCCUUUCCCACAUAUAGUAAAGCAAAGUACUUAAACUAGAGAUAUGAGAAAUAUCAGAUAGAGGAAAAUGGCAAAUGGAGAUGGAAAUGGUUUUUAUAAAACAUCUUUAAAAA